GUGGGGAAUCUUGCACAAUGGAGGCAACUCUGAUGCAGCGACGCCGCGUGAGCGAUGAAGCCCUUCGGGGUGUAAAGCUCUUUCGACGGGAACGAUAAUGACGGUACCCGGAGAAGAAGCUGCGGCUAACUACGUGCCAGCAGCCGCGGUAAUACGUAGGCAGCAAGCGUUGUUCGGAAUUAUUGGGCGUAAAGAGUGCGUAGGCGGUGUUCCAAGUCUGUCGUGAAAUCUCCCGGCUUAACUGGGAGGGUGCGGCGGAAACUGGGAUGCUAGAGGGUGGGAGAGGUAAGCGGAAUUCCUGGUGUAGCGGUGAAAUGCGUAGAUAUCAGGAGGAACACCUGUGGUGUAGACAGCUUACUGGACCACUUCUGACGCUGAGGCACGAAAGCGUGGGUAGCAAACAGGAUUAGAAACCCCAGUAGUCC
rnacentral:rRNA from 1 species